GUAGGGCCGAGGGAAGCUCAGCAGGGGGGCUAUGAGCUGAGUAUGUCUCAUCACUCUGUACCAUGCUCCUUGGGAAGGGCUGAGACUAUGGCCAAAAGCAGCCCUAACAGGGCUCUCCUGGAGCCUUGAGGAAUGAGUUCCCAGAGGUGCCCAGGAAGCCGAAUCUACUCCAAGACUUAGAUGAUAGUCCUCUGCCCCAACUUAUUACCUGCAUUUUUUUCUCUUUCUCUGGAAAUACUAAAUAUGAUUCUAGAAACUUUAUAUACUUUCUAUUUAC
rnacentral:lncRNA from 1 species